rnacentral:rRNA from 1 species
UACGUAGGGCGCAAGCGUUGUCCGGAAUUACUGGGCGUAAAGGGUGCGUAGGUGGCGCGGUAAGUCGGGUGUGAAAUUUCGGAGCUUAACUCCGAAACUGCAUUCGAUACUGCCGUGCUUGAGGACUGGAGAGGAGACUGGAAUUUACGGUGUAGCAGUGAAAUGCGUAGAGAUCGUAAGGAAGACCAGUGGCGAAGGCGGGUCUCUGGACAGUUCCUGACACUGGAGGCACGAAGGCCAGGGGAGCAAAACGGG